GAUGAACGCUAGCGGCAGGCUUAACACAUGCAAGUCGAGGGGCAGCAUGACACGGAGAUUCGUCGAAGUGUUGAUGGCGACCGGCGCAAGGGUGCGUAACGCGUGAGCAACUUGCCCGUUUCAGGGGGAUAACCGGUGGAAACGCCGACUAAUACCCCAUAGUAUUAACUUUAGGCAUCUUUAGUUAAUUAAAGAAUUUCGGAAACGGAUAGGCUCGCGUGACAUUAGCUAGAUGGCGGGGUAACGGCCCACCAUGGCGACGAUGUCUAGGGGUUCUGAGAGGAAGGUCCCCCCACACUGGAACUGAGACACGGUCCAGACUCCUACGGGAGGCAGCAGUGAGGAAUAUUGGUCAAUGGUCGAGAGACUGAACCAGCCAUGCCGCGUGAAGGUGACGGCCCUAUGGGUCUUAAACUUCUUUUGUAAGGGAGCAAUAAGUCUCACGUGUGGGAUGAUGAGAGUACCUUACGAAUAAGCAUCGGCUAACUCCGUGCCAGCAGCCG
rnacentral:rRNA from 1 species